GACGAACGCUGGCGGCGUGCUUAACACAUGCAAGUCGAACGGAAAGGCCCUGCUUUUGUGGGGUGCUCGAGUGGCGAACGGGUGAGUAACACGUGAGUAACCUGCCCUUGACUUUGGGAUAACUUCAGGAAACUGGGGCUAAUACCGGAUAGGAGCUCCUGCUGCAUGGUGGGGGUUGGAAAGUUUCGGCGGUUGGGGAUGGACUCGCGGCUUAUCAGCUUGUUGGUGGGGUAGUGGCUUACCAAGGCUUUGACGGGUAGCCGGCCUGAGAGGGUGACCGGCCACAUUGGGACUGAGAUACGGCCCAGACUCCUACGGGAGGCAGCAGUGGGGAAUAUUGCACAAUGGGCGGAAGCCUGAUGCAGCAACGCCGCGUGCGGGAUAACGGCCUUCGGGUUGUAAGCCGCUUUCGCCUGUGACGAAGCGUGAGUGACGGUAAUGGGUAAAGAAGCACCGGCUAACUACGUG
rnacentral:rRNA from 1 species